rnacentral:rRNA from 1 species
CGUCAGCGGCAGACGGGUGAGUAACGCGUGGGAACGUACCUUUUGGUUCGGAACAACACAGGGAAACUUGUGCUAAUACCGGAUAAGCCCUUACGGGGAAAGAUUUAUCGCCGAAAGAUCGGCCCGCGUCUGAUUAGCUAGUUGGUGGGGUAACGGCCCACCAAGGCGACGAUCAGUAGCUGGUCUGAGAGGAUGAUCAGCCACAUUGGGACUGAGACACGGCCCAAACUUCUACGGGAGGCAGCAGUGGGGAAUAUUGGACAAUGGGGGCAACCCUGAUCCAGCCAUGCCGCGUGAGUGAUGAAGGCCCUAGGGUUGUAAAGCUCUUUUGUGCGGGAAGAUAAUGACGGUACCGCAAGAAUAAGCCCCGGCUAACUUCGUGCCAGCAGCCGCGGUAAUACGAAGUGGUCAUGCGUUGCUCGGAAUCACCCCCCCCCAAAGGGUGCGUAGGCGGGUCUUUAAGUCAGGGGUGAAAUCCUGGAGCUCAACUCCAGAACUGCCUUUGAUACUGAGGAUCUUGAGUUCGGGAGAGGUGAGUGGAACUGCGAGUGUAGAGGUGAAAUUCGUAGAUAUUCGCAAGAACACCAGUGGCGAAGGCGGCUCACUGGCCCGAUACUGACGCUGAGGCACGAAAGCGUGGGGAGCAAACA